AUCAUACUCCCUCCGUCCGAAAAAGCUUGUCCCUUAAAUGGAUGUAUCUAACACCAAGUUAGUGCUAGAUACAUCCAUUUGAUGGACACAAGCUUGGGACAAGCUUUUCCAGACGGAGGGAGUACCAA
rnacentral:pre_miRNA from 1 species